ensembl:snoRNA SNORA70 Small nucleolar RNA SNORA70
CUGCAGUCAAUUAAGCCGACUGGGUUCCUCUGCUGGUAGGUGCUCAGUGUGCAGUGGCUGCAAACAGCAAUCUCCUUGGUAGUGUAUGUGGCCUGUUGCUUGUAUGGGCUGCCCUAAGGGACCUUGGAGACACUG